rnacentral:lncRNA from 1 species
AUGGAUUUUGCUGCUGAAAGUGAAGAGAUGUCGGGAGGAGGUCUCCAGAGUGAAGCUGAGGGGGCGCGGCUAAGUCUCGAGUCAGAUCAAGAGAAAGUAAGGACGGAGCAGUCUGGCGAUGGAGGGGCGGAGAAUGGUCUGACCGGAAUGGAGAAGACAGGGGCAGGGGAAGAAGAAAGUAGACGAAGAGCAGAGGAGAUGCGAAUAGCCCUAACGGUUGUGAAGCAGGAGAUGGAUAGUAGUUUGAUGGUAAAAGAAGAAAAGGUGGAAGAAACAGAGAUAAAGGAAGAGAAAGUGAAGGUGAAGGAAGAAGUGAUGGACUGGCUGGAAGUGAAGGAAGAGAAGAAAGAUAGCUUGGAUAUUAAACGUGAGGAAGUGUCUCUUGAUCAGAAUAUUAAAAAGGAGGAAAUAAUGGAUGAAGUGUAUGUAAAAGAAGAGAAGUAUUUCCCCAAAGAAGAAAUGAUGGAUGAUACAAGGGUGAAAGAAGAGCCUCAAAUAAAUCCCUCAGUGGGCUCCAAGCGGAAACUGGCCAUGUCAAGAUGUGAAACUUGUGGUACAGAAGAAGCAAAGUACAGAUGUCCACGUUGUUUGCGGUAUUCCUGCAGUUUGCCCUGUGUAAAGAAACACAAAGCAGAACUAACAUGUAAUGGAGUUCGAGAUAAAACUGCGUAUGUUUCAAUACAACAGUUUACAGAAAUGAAUCUCCUAAGUGAUUAUCGAUUUUUAGAAGAUGUGGCAAGAACAGCAGACCAUAUUUCUAGAGAUGCUUUCUUGAAAAGACCAAUCAGCAAUAAACAUAUGUACUUUAUGAAAAAUCGUGCUCGAAAGCAAGGUAUUAAUUUAAAACUUCUACCCAAUGGAUUCACAAAAAGAAAAGAAAAUUCAACAUUUUUUGAUAAGAAAAAACGACAGUUUUGUUGGCAUGUGAAGCUUCAAUUUCCUCAGAGUCAAGCUGUGUAUGUAGAAAAAAGAGUACCAGAUGAUAAAACUAUUAAUGAAAUCCUAAGACCUUACAUUGAUCCUGAAAAGUCUGAUCCUGUAAUUCGUCAAAGGUUGAAAGCCUACAUUUGCUCUCAGACUGGGGUCCGCAUUUUAAUGAAGGUAGAAAAUAUGCAGCAAAAUUUAGUAAGAUAUUAUGAGCUGGAUCCUGACAAAAGUCUCCUUGACAAUUUGAGGGGCAAAGUGAUCAUUGAGUACCCAACAUUACAUGUAGUAUUAAAAGAAUACAGUAAUGACAUGAAAGUUCUUCACCAAGUGAAAAGUGAAUCUACUAAGAACAUUGGUGAUGAAAAUUGAACACUUCUUUUGGAGGAAGAAUGUGACAGUACCCAGAUAGUGGCAGAGGACCUUGUUGGAAGAUUUGGGGGUGCUUUCUCUUGGUCAUUGGAAAGUUUUGUUUCUCUGAAAACUGAUUAAAC